rnacentral:lncRNA from 1 species
GCACUCCAUUCUUUGCUUCUGAUAGUUUGUGUAAAUUUGAUUGUGGAAUCAGAGGCAUGCAGCAUUUUCUUGCCACCUUAAGUUGGCGGAUGCGUAAAACUACUCAUAGUGGCUUUACAUAGGUAACCUCAAGUUGGCGGAUGCGUAAAACUAUUCAUAGUGGCUUUACAUAGGUAAGGUAACAACCCUCAGAUUAUUUGAGAAAAAGAGGGGGGAAAAAGCCUUCAUUGUGCCCAUUGUAGUGAUUGUGUAAUGCUGUAUCAUUUCUUCUCCUCUUUCUUUUCUUCCUUCUUUUCCUCUUUCUUUUCUUCUUUCGCCGGUCCGACGGAUAUUAUAUCAAUUUUUCCAAUUUUCUUCAACUUCUUUGCUAUUGCCACUGUGUCCAUUUCACCUAUUAUGGUCAUCUUUUGCUCCUUAAGGUCAGCAGCUAUUGAAUCAAUCCCUGCAGCAAAGUAACAUUCCCCCUGUUACAGUGAUAUGUACAAAAAUGCUUCUUCAUUUGAUUAGUAUAUUAGGUAUCAAAGGCUUAACCCAUUCAGAUGUGAGAAUCUUGUUCUUUUAGAUGUUUUUUAAGUUCGACUCUACUAAGCAAAACUCCCAAAACAAAAGAAAAGGAAAAGCUCUGAUUUGAAACUUCUGCAUCUAUCGUAGCUGGAAAGCUUCAGAAUCUUUAAAGUUAUUCGCUAGAAUCAAAACUCAUCUUACGCUAAUCAACAUGAGGUUUCAAAAAACUAAUUGGAAUCGCACCAUUUAGAAAGCUGAUGUUGCAAUAGGUCUCCAGUAAAAACAAAAUCAUAAAAUCAUUAGGAAAAAAACAUAUGUAAAUCAAAUAAACUAAGGGAUCAGAGGUGACCCACACAUAUACUAUAACCAACCGAAUCUUCAAACUUAGCGUGUAAUUUGGACCCAUCUAGGUCGAUUUCAUGCGCAAAUAAAUUUAAGGCUUUGCGUAUGCGAUUUGUUAUCUUUUUAUCAUUAGUGAUGUGUAAGGUGCCAAAAUUUUCCUACAGUUCCAAAUCACUUCAUUCUCAAGUUUCUUAUUCUCGGUAAUGAUAAAUUAAGCGAUCGUAUUAUUAAUUUCAAUCGAAACCAUGGAAUCCAUAUUUCAUGGGAUUAUUACAUAAUUUAUGACUGAAAACAAAUUAUGCUUAUUAAAAUUGUUGUAUACUGAUUGAAUAACCGUAGCGAUGAAUUUGAAAAGUUUGAACGAAAAUUUUAAGACUCUCUCGGAACUUCAAUACCAAUAGCAUCUCAGAAAAUUUACUAAGCCACUUUUUCCUCCUAAAUUCAUUUUUCUUUCUCUAAGAAACUAUGAGGUAUACUAGUUGAUGACAUAUAUAUAUAAAUCAGUAGAACAAAGAUACCGUAGAUUUCGGCGACUGCUUCUAUGGCCUUUUGCUUCGUCUUCUCAUCGUUCAUCGCCAGAAUUUUUAGCACCACCUUCUGCUAAAUUUAAGGCAAAAUAUGUAGGGGGUGAAGAACAUGAAUUGAAACAUCUAAUAACACCAUAAAUGAUUGUUGAUUAACAAGAUCUGAUCCUUAAAAUAAUUUUACUUACCUGGGCCAUUUGAAGAUGGUAGGGGGGCACUCCUUUUUGGAAAAAGCCUUUUUCUCAGAUGGAAAAAUGAUCACUAGCAAAGGUGGGGAAAGAGGGCCUCUAGUGCCUUAUAUAGAGGAGUUACUUAUUUUUUCUUUUUCUUUUUAUUUCUUUUUGUGUUUUUGUGGGGGUGAAUGUUAAUUUUAGACCCAGUAAAUCUCUCAUGUUACCAAAUAAAGUGGAGUAAUAUAGAUAUGUUUAGAGUGUGAUUCUUAAUAAAGGGAUGUUUUCAAAAUAAUGAUUUGAUGGGUUUCGGUGCAGUACUGUGCCAGGGCCAUUUUAGUGUUUGU